ACGGCUCAGUAACACGUGGACAACCUGCCCUUAGGUUGGGUAUAAACCCGGGAAACUGGGUAUAAUACCCGAUAGGUCUCGAUUGCUGGAAUGCAUCGAGAUUUAAAGCUCCGGCGCCUAAGGAUGGGUCUGCGGCCUAUCAGGUAGUAGUGGGUGUAGCGUACCUACUAGCCUACGACGGGUACGGGUUGUGAGAGCAAGAGCCCGGAGAUGGAUUCUGAGACACGAAUCCAGGCCCUACGGGGUGCAGCAGGCGCGAAAACUUUACAAUGCUGGCAACAGCGAUAAGGGAACCUCGAGUGCCAGGUUACAAAUCUGGCUGUCGAGAUGCCUAAAAAGCAUUUCAUAGCAAGGGCCGGGCAAGACCGGUGCCAGCCGCCGCGGUAACACCGGCGGCUCGAGUGGUAACCGUUAUUAUUGGGUCUAAAGGGUCUGUAGCCGGCCGGAUAAGUCUCUUGAGAAAUCUGGCAGCUUAACUGUCAGGCUUUCAGGAGAUACUGUCUGGCUCGAGGCCGGGAGAGGUGAGAGGUACUUCAGGGGUAGGGGUGAAAUCUUGUAAUCCUUGAAGGACCACCAGUGGCGAAGGCGUCUCACCAGAACGGACCUGACGGCAAGGGACGAAAGCUAGGGGCACGAACCGGAUUAGAUACCCGGGUAGUCCUAGCCGUAAACGAUACUCGCUAGGUGUCGGCCACGGUGCGACCGUUGUCGGUGCCGUAGGGAAGCCGUGAAGCGAGCCACCUGGGAAGUACGGCCGCAAGGCUGAAACUUAAAGGAAUUGGCGGGGGAGCACCACAACGGGUGGAGCUUGCGGUUUAAUUGGAUUCAACGCCGGAAAUCUUACCGGGACCGACAGCAAUAUGAAGGCCAGGCUGAAGACUUUGCCGGAUUAGCUGAGAGGUGGUGCAUGGCCGUCGUCAGUUCGUACUGUGAAGCAUCCUGUUAAGUCAGGCAACGAGCGAGACCCGUGCC
rnacentral:rRNA from 1 species